CAGCAAUGGACAGAACAUUUGUCAUCGUAUUCUGCUCAGUGCUCUUAUUUGGAGCAUGUGUUCAAGGAAUGUCUCCAUUUGGGAAUGGCCGGUGCAAGUGUAGAGAUGGAGGAACUGAUAAAAUUAAUUUAGCAUCUAUAGCAAAAGUAGAACUGUUUCCAGCAACAACCAACUGUCCACGUGCAGAAAUAAUUGCUACAAUUAAGACGGGAGUAGAAAUUUGUCUCAAACCAAAUUCCAGAAAAGUCAACAAAAUAAUUUUUACAAUUAAGAAGAAACGUCAAGCUUUAAAAGUGUGACAAACAGGCAGCAUUGUGCCACAUGAAAUGUAAGAACGAUUAGAAGAACAUUAAAACAAAACAUCAAAAAUACAAGAAGAUUGAGAUUUAAUGAAAUCUGAAAAUGUUUCAUGAAAAACUAAGAUAAAUAAUACAAAUAAUUUAUUUAUUAAAGCUGAAAACUUUAUGCAGAUUAAAAAAAAACAAAAAAAAACUGAAAAUCAAUGUCAACACAUAGAUUUGAAAAAAAAUAAUAUUUGUUUCUUUUUUUCAUUACAUUUUUUAAAUAAAUGUUCUGGAAAAUUA